GGCGAGCCCGGCUGCGGAGGCGGCCGCCGAGAGCGUGGAGCGCCCCGCGCGAGGGCCCAGCUGCGUGCAGGCACCCGGGGGCACCGCCGGCUCGGCCCUGGGAGGGGCCCGGCGCCCGCAGCCCCCCACGCCCGGAGAGGGAUGCGGUGCGCCCUGAGAGCCCGGUAGCCUCGGGUCGCGGCGCUGCGGACGCGAUGAUGGAUGAGCCGUGGUGGGAAGGACGCGUCGCCUUGGACGUCCACUGCACCCUGCGCGAGAAGGAGCUGAAGCUGCCCGCCUUCCGAGCCCACUCCCCGCUCCUGAAGAGCCGCCGGUUCUUUGUCGACAUCUUGACCCUGCUGAGCAGCCACUGCCAGCUCUGCCCCGCCGCCCGGCACCUGGCCGUCUACCUGCUGGACCACUUCCUGGAUCGCUAUAACAUCACCGCCUCCAAGCAGCUCUACGCCGUGGCCGUCUCCUGCCUCCUGCUCGCAAGUAAGUUCGAGGACAGGGAAGACCAUGUCCCCAAGCUGGAGCAGAUAAACAGCACCAGGAUCCUGAGCAGCCAGAACUUCUCCCUCUCCAAGAAGGAGCUGCUGAGCACGGAGCUGCUGCUGCUAGAGGCCUUCAGCUGGAACCUCUGCCUGCCCACGCCCGCCCACUUCCUGGACUACUACCUCUUGGCCUCGGUCAGCCAGAAGGACCACCACUGCCACAGCUGGCCCACCACCUGCCCCCGCAAGACCAAAGAGUGCCUCAAGGAGUACGCCCGCUACUUCCUAGAGGUCACCCUGCAAGAUCACAUUUUCUACAAAUUCCAGCCUUCUGUAGUCGCUGCAGCCUGCGUGGGGGCCUCUAGGAUUUGCCUUCAGCUUUCUCCCUACUGGACCAGAGACCUGCAGAGGAUCUCAAGCUACUCCCUGGAACAUCUCAGCACGUGCAUCGAAAUCCUGCUGGUAGCUUAUGACAACGUCCUCAAGGAUGCCGUCGCGGUCAAGAGCCAGGCCUUGGCGAUGGUGCCCGGCACACCCCCAGCCCCCACCCAAGUGCUGUUCCAGCCGCCCGCCUACCCCGGCCUCAGCCAGCCGACAGCGACGGCCCUGGCCCACUUCCAGACCCCCGUGCGGGACCUGUGCUUGGCCUACCAGGACCCGCUGCUGCCCCCCCAUUCGGGGACCCUGCUCUCAGGGGGCACCGGCUCGUCCCUCCACGCCCUGUACCCUGCCCUGCCGCCCCUGGACGUGUGUCCCGUGGCCCUGCCCGCGUCCCUCGGCAUGCAGAUGGCCAUCACCUCUGAGCCCAGGCACUGCCUCGCCGCCACCUAUGGGAGCAGCUACUUCAGCGGGAGCCAUGUGUUCCCUGCAGGCUGUUUCGACAGAUAGAGCACCUUUAGCCACCCAGGGAGAUCUUGGCAACCCAGGAGGUGGAGGACACCGACGAGGGGAGCUCAGCCCAGUGAGGUGCCUGGGAGGCCAUCCCCACAGAGCCUCAGGGCCCUUGAACGGAGAAGGUCCGUGCUCUUUUUAAAUAAAACUGACCCAGCCCAAGGCAGUCAAUGACAUACCUCAACCAAGAACAUUCGUCUGGAGAAUAUCUUCCACACAUGGCUGGGGUGCAAGGGGUGGCUCGGUGGCCAUCUCUGGAGAAGGGCCCAGUGGGUUGACAAAGACCUGGGACGAGGCCAGGAGACGGGGGACUGGAUGCCGACCACGAGCACGGCCAGGUUUUAGCAUCAAAGACUCCUUUGUGCUUUGCUGAUGGCAGCUACACCACUGAAAAGAGGGGGCAGCCUGACCUGUUCUCAGGACCCCCAGUAGAUGCCGUCUGGGGUGCUUUUCUUUCCCUGGCUCCAUACACAAGGGCCCGUGUGUGCGUUCUGCCUUCCAAGGCACGGUGAGCGGCUGUCUUGCUUUUGUUGUGGAACCUAAAACUUCCCUCAGCCUUUUAUAUGUUUUACUUGCUGCUGCUUCCCGAAGUGACCUAGCUUUCUGUUCUGUAAGAUGUCUUGUUUACAUGCUGCAUCAGGGAUUCUGUGAUACUUGAAGAUUCCUUAGGACUGAAAAAACCAUGGUGAUUGCCACACUGCCUGUCCCACGCCAGGGUUGUGGGUUUUAACCUGGCUUGGGACUGACCCUGGAGGUCAACCCAGAGCUCCCUUUGCAAAAGCAUAUGGCUGGGAAGAACCGCUUUCCAGGCUCUCGGUUCCAGGAGAUUCCACGUCUUGGAUGCUCUGUUCACCUGCACGACUUCGAUAACUACCCAGAAGAAAAAGGUUGUUAAAAAGUAAACAAAGAUUUAAAACCAAUAAACCCCACCUCCCUCCAUCACAUGCUUCUAGUGCGUAAGGUUAAACCCAGCCUCGGCUUGGUGUUUGGAUCAGAGCAAAGGAUCUUAAUGUGAGAUGAAUGCCUGACGCCAACUGGAUUUGGGGAGUGGGGGGUGUGCCGGGUCUGUGACCCCACCGACAGCUGGUUGGAUUGAAAGCCAGUAUUUGGGUUUCUGCAGUGAGAGGGCUCUCGGGAAGACCCUCGGAGCCAUGUGCAAUAUGUUUUAUCCUGACUCGUAGCUUGUGCUCAGUAUGUUUCAUUUUUUGGUUGGUUUGGGGUCGGGGGACACAUUGUUCACGCGCUAGAACUGGGAGGUGCAAAGAACCACAGAAGCGUCUUUUUUGUUUCUUUUUUAAAAAAGAACCCAUUUUGGUUUUCUUGGCUUGUUUGCCAGUCCAGGAGGCUGGCAGGGAGGCUGCCGGGAGUUGGAUCCGAAGGCGGUUUUCCGAGCAGACAGAAGGCUCAGCGUGGAAGUUGAGUCAAGAGGAGACGCUGGACGCGGACAGGCUGGGGCCAGUUUGUCACACCAGCAUAGGAAGGUCUGAAAACAGGCACAGAGAGCUUCUUUGCCCAAGGACAGCAAUAGUGAAGGAAGGAGCCACAGCUGAAACCCAGCCAGCCCAGAGCUGACGCGCUGCCCCGAGGUGCCUCAGUCAAGGGUUUUGAAUGAGCGCAAGGCUCCAGCUGGCGGUACCACUCACCUGGUGGAGAGGACGUGACAGGAUGAUGGAUGUGGGUUCGUAAAAAAGCUGCCAGGCAUUCAUGCUGCUUUUUUACAGGGGUGUGGGUGUUCUCAGCGUGCGCAGCAGCAGACAGAAAUACAGCAACGUAGCUUUUCGUAUAUCUGCCACAGGCUGACAGGAUUUACUGCUCCUCCUGUCUGCCCCCAGCCGGCUCUGAUCUGGGAGGGGGUCCCCAAGCCCCAUCUGUGAAGGUGAAAAUCUGGGACCAGGCUUAGGGCUUCCCCAGAGCAUCCCCUGGGAGGGACCCCACCUCUGGGCUGGCUCUGGCAAUCCCUGGCACCAAAUUCUUGAGAAGGACUCUCACCAGCCUCAUUAACCUCAUUCUCUGUUUCUCAGGGAAGCCCUAGUUGAUGAAUUUCAGCAGAAAGGCCAUAGCAUUUGGCAGGAGUCUCAAAUCCACAUGCCCAUCAGGACCAGGCGGGUAACGUAGUGAGUGAAUCAGCCGGAUGACGGAGACAAUGUGAUGGGGUAGGGACUACUGAAGCCUGUGUUUAAGUACUGCCUUUCAGGGAUCUCACCUCCGUGCUGCCACAACUCCAGAUUUCAAAGAAACUGGAAGGACACUUUCUAGGAAAUUAAUUUUUCAUGAUUUAAAGAAUUAAAUUUAAAAAUUUUGUAAUGCAACAGAAGACACAUAGGUUAGGGUGGUUCUCAGGCAGGAAACUUGCAACCUUUAGUAUAUAGACUAGAACGUUGGGCCUAACAGGUGGAAGGUCUGAGUUUGCUCAUAGCAAACAGAAAAGCUGCUUCUCCACUCUGAGCCUCUGUCUCUUCAUUUAUGAGGUGAGAAGGCCGUCAGUCUGAACUAUAUACUUCAGGUUUAUGAUAAGAAAGCCUGGAAUGUAUGGAAUCAUUAUUCAGUGGGGAGGUCUAUGAGGAAUAUUGGCAAUAAGAGGGCCCCUUUCUUUUUCGGGGAGGCUCAGGUGAGCCCCAGAGCUUCAUCUCCCUCCAAUCCAGCUCUCACUCUAAAGGAAGAGCUCAAGUGGUCCUGCUUCUGCUGGCCCGGCUCCAACCAGUGUCCAGUCCCCGGCCUUUGCCAGAGCCACGGCAGGCAGCACAGGAUGUCAGGCCUCCUGCUGCUCCCCAGCUGUGUGGACGUGGGCAGGUCAUUCCCCUUUUCUAGAUCUCAGUUUUCUUCGUCUGUAAAACGGGAGGGUUUGGACUGGCACUAUCUCCAAGGUCAUCAUACCUGGCUGCGGAGCACUUCAGAACAGUGGCAGCUCCCUGGUCUUCGUACCUGAAGUGUCCCCCCUUCUGCAGGUCUGCGGUGGGUCCUGGGCUGUCCUUUUAAUAAGACCCCCAGGAAAUACACGUGCACAGCCAGGUUUGGACACCUCUCCCUACUCUGAAAGCUCUGACCCAGUGUGUGCCGGUUCUCACCAGUAGAACCGCCAAGAAAGGCCCUGUUUAGUGAGCACUUACUGUGCUCCAGGCCCCGUAUUUCACACUUUCCUCAUGCUCUCUUACUCCCCCUGCUCUUCUUUUGUCCUCAUGACAUCAUCAUGAGCUAGGAGUAUUAUCACCAUUUUCCAGAUGAGAAUACUGAGGUUCAGAGAAACCCAAGGUCUCACCAUGGGCAGGUGGUGCGACCAGAUUUCACACUUAGAUAUGCCUGACCAAGGAGUUACUAGUGGCCUCUGCCUUGUCACCCGUAGAGGACACACACACCCCUGCACCAAGGCGCAGUCACUCAGGAUUUCACUGCACACCCCCCACCUCCUGCCGACGUACACACCUUGGUGUCUGUCCAUGGGGCCACAGGUGGGUGGUGGGGCGCCACCUAGCCGUGGUCUUUAGAGACGCUUUGAGAAGCUCUCGUUUGACCAGAUGUGCUUGGUGGGAGAGAAAUUGUCACCCGGCAGAGUGGCAGAGAUGACUCUCAAGGGCUGGGUGAAGGGCAUCUGAACUGAGCGGGGAGUCACUUCAACACCUUGACCAGCGCAGCAAAAUGGUGACGCUCCUGUAACUUUCUGGAGGCCACUAGCAUGGAUUUUUACCCUUAAUCUUUGCAAUUCAUCUGUGACCCAAGAAGGGAAGAUCUUAUGAGCCUGUUUUACACACGGACAAGACAAGACUCCGAGAAAUACUGCGGCUUGCCCACGUGCCUUACAGGUAAGUGGAGGGCGGUGCUCCUAACAUUUCAUCACACUGGCUUGAGGAUGGCGGUGGUGAUGGAGUGGAGGUAGCAGUGGCUCCUGUUUAAUUCGCAGCAUGACAGCUCUGUUAGGUAAGUACAGUCAUUAUUUCCACGGGCAGGUGAGGAAACUGAGGCUCAGAGAAACGGAUGAACGCACCCCAAGGUGACACAGCUUCUAGGUGGUGGAAGAGGGAUUUGAACCCUGGCAGUGUGACUCCAGGGUUGAAACUCUUAACCGCUGUCCCUUCUACUGGCUGAGGAUGCCUCUCUUCCAGGACACCGGCAAAACGGAUGCUUCCUUCCAGCUCAGCUUACGCCACUCACCCCGUAAGCCAGACAGAGAGACUGUGCCUCCAUCAACCAGGGACCCCACAUCACUCUCCGAUUCUUGCUCUGCUGUGUGACCUUGGAUGAAUUUUUUUGUUUCUGGGCCUUGGCUUCCAUAUCUGUGAAAUACAGAGUUUAAACUA